GACGAACGCUGGCGGCGUGCUUAACACAUGCAAGUCGAACGGAAAGGCCCUGCUUUUGUGGGGUGCUCGAGUGGCGAACGGGUGAGUAACACGUGAGUAACCUGCCCUUGACUUUGGGAUAACUUCAGGAAACUGGGGCUAAUACCGGAUAGGAGCUCCUGCUGCAUGGUGGGGGUUGGAAAGUUUCGGCGGUUGGGGAUGGACUCGCGGCUUAUCAGCUUGUUGGUGGGGUAGUGGCUUACCAAGGCUUUGACGGGUAGCCGGCCUGAGAGGGUGACCGGCCACAUUGGGACUGAGAUACGGCCCAGACUCCUACGGGAGGCAGCAGUGGGGAAUAUUGCACAAUGGGCGGAAGCCUGAUGCAGCAACGCCGCGUGCGGGAUGACGGCCUUCGGGUUGUAAACCGCUUUCGCCUGUGACGAAGCGUGAGUGACGGUAAUGGGUAAAGAAGCACCGGCUAACUACGUGCCAGCAGCCGCGGUGAUACGUAGGGUGCGAGCGUUGUCCGGAUUUAUUGGGCGUAAAGGGCUCGUAGGUGGUUGAUCGCGUCGGAAGUGUAAUCUUGGGGCUUAACCCUGAGCGUGCUUUCGAUACGGGUUGACUUGAGGAAGGUAGGGGAGAAUGGAAUUCCUGGUGGAGCGGUGGAAUGCGCAGAUAUCAGGAGGAACACCAGUGGCGAAGGCGGUUCUCUGGGCCUUUCCUGACGCUGAGGAGCGAAAGCGUGGGGAGCGAACAGGCUUAGAUACCCUGGUAGUCCACGCUGUAAACGGUGGGUACUAGGUGUGGGGUCCAUUCCACGGGUUCCGUGCCGUAGCUAACGCUUUAAGUACCCCGCCUGGGGAGUACGGCCGCAAGGCUAAAACUCAAAGGAAUUGACGGGGCCCCGCACUAGCGGCGGAGCAUGCGGAUUAAUUCGAUGCAACGCGUAGAACCUUACCUGGGUUUGACAUGGAUCGGGAGCGCUCAGAGAUGGGUGUGCCUCUUUUGGGGUCGGUUCACAGGUGGUGCAUGGCUGUCGUCAGCUCGUGUCGUGAGAUGUUGGGUUAAGUCCCGCAACGAGCGCAACCCUUGUUCACUGUUGCCAGCACGUUAUGGUGGGGACUCAGUGGAGACCGCCGGGGUCAACUCGGAGGAAGGUGGGGAUGACGUCAAGUCAUCAUGCCCCUUAUGUCCAGGGCUUCACGCAUGCUACAAUGGCUGGUACAGAGAGUGGCGAGCCUGUGAGGGUGAGCGAAUCUCGGAAAGCCGGUCUCAGUUCGGAUUGGGGUCUGCAACUCGACCUCAUGAAGUCGGAGUCGCUAGUAAUCGCAGAUCAGCAACGCUGCGGUGAAUACGUUCCCGGGGCU
rnacentral:rRNA from 1 species